GAUGAACGCUAGCGGCAGGCUUAAUACAUGCAAGUCGUGGGGCAGCAGGUUUGUAGCAAUACAGAUGCUGGCGACCGGCAAACGGGUGCGGAACACGUACAGAACCUUCCUUUGAGCGGGGAAUAGCCCAGAGAAAUUUGGAUUAAUACCCCAUAGUAUAAUGAAGUGGCAUCACUUUAUUAUUAAAGAUUUAUCACUCGAAGAUGGCUGUGCGGCUGAUUAGGUAGUUGGCGGGGUAAAGGCCCACCAAGCCUGCGAUCAGUAACUGGUGUGAGAGCACGACCAGUCACACGGGCACUGAGACACGGGCCCGACUCCUACGGGAGCAGCAGUAAGGAAUAUUGGUCAAUGGAGGCAACUCUGAACCAGCCAUGCCGCGUGGAGGAUGAAGGUCCUCUGGAUUGUAAACUUCUUUAUAUGGGACGAAAAAAGGCUUUUCUAAGUCGUCUGACGGUACCAUAUGAAUAAGCACCGGCUAACUCCGUGCCAGCAGCCG
rnacentral:rRNA from 1 species